rnacentral:rRNA from 1 species
GGCUUCGUGCUCGAAAGAGAGCCGUAACACAGGUGCUGCAUGGCUGUCGUCAGCUCGUGUCGUGAGAUGUUGGGUUAAGUCCCGCAACGAGCGCAACCCUUGCCAUUAGUUGCUACGAAAGGGCACUCUAAUGGGACUGCCGGUGACAAACCGGAGGAAGGUGGGGAUGACGUCAAGUCCUCAUGGCCCUUAUAGGUGGGGCUACACACGUCAUACAAUGGCCGGUACAAAGGGCAGCCAACCCGCGAGGGGGAGCCAAUCCCAUAAAGCCGGUCGUAGUCCGGAUCGCAGUCUGCAACUCGACUGCGUGAAGUCGGAAUCGCUAGUAAUCGUGGAUCAGCAUGUCACGGUGAAUACGUUCCCGGGUCUUGUACACACCGCCCGUUACACCAUGGGAGCGGGUCUCGCCAGAAGUAGGUAGCCUAACCGCAAGGAGGGCGCUUACCACGGCGGGGUUCGUGACUGGGGUGAAGUCGUAACAAGGUAGCCGUAUCGGAAGG